AAUCAACGCUGGCGGCGUGCCUCAGACAUGCAAGUCGAACGCGAAAGUCCCCCUUCGGGGGGACAAGUAGAGUGGCGCACGGGUGAGUAACACGUAGGUAAUCUACCUUCGGAUGGGGAAUAACAAUCGGAAACGGUUGCUAAUACCGCAUAAUGCAGCGGCACCUAAUGGUGACAGUUGUUAAAGCGGGGGGAUCGAAAGACCUCGCGUCUGAAGAGGAGCCUGCGGCGGAUUAGCAGUUGGUAAGGUAAUGGCUUACCAAGGCGACGAUCCGUAACCGGCCUGAGAGGGGCGGUCGGUCACACUGACACUGACAUACGGGUCAGACUCCUACGGGAGGCAG
rnacentral:rRNA from 1 species